rnacentral:lncRNA from 1 species
AUGCUUGAGCCCGCUUGCCCAACUCCUGAGAUGUCAUCGGGAAGCUGCUGAUCAGCAAUUACAGAGAUGCUCUUCUCACCUCUCAUUCGGAAUCUACUCUCAAUUAUAUAUAAGACGGUCAAUAAUGAAACUCGUGGCCCAUCUGUCCUUCCGGUGUGCCCUGCACUGUGCUAAGAACUUCCCAUCCACUGGAUCUCACGGAGGUUCACAGUCAUCUGAAGAGGGGGUCCUGUGUUCACCUGCAUCUUGCAGCAAGCAGUCACCGUCUAUGAACUAGAAAGCUGAUUCACCAGACACCGAAUCUGCCAGCACCUUGGUCUUGGACUUCCCAGCCUCCAGAACUAGGAAAUGUUCCAACACAUCUGAGGAAACACAUGCCUUCCCAGACUGGCCUGUUGCUGUUUCCCAGGAGCUGCAUUCUGGAAGGUGGACCAUCAGGUGGAAGAAGUAUUCUUCAGAGAGCUGCCUUCCCAAGGGAAUGGUGACAGCUUGCGCUUGCCGGGGAGUCCUGCUGCCUUCCGAGGUGUGAAGGGAAGGCAUGCACUGUGCAUAUGCUGUACCAUACAGUUUUGCCUACAACUGCUUGUAGCUUCAUUGUAGCUGUGAAUGCUCCGUUCCUCUCCUUUUCACCCCUGAAGAUUCGCGAACAUGCAGGAUUGAGCUGUGCGAGGCAUAGCAUUCCCCACAUGGUAGACGAAGGCGGAUGUGGGUCUGAUGGCUCUACUGCCGUCCACCCGGGAGGAUGGACGUGUGUUCCGGGAUAUCAGAGCUUGCGGCUGACCAGCCCACAUGUCCAUGCAGCCCUCCCGCUGGCUGUGUCGACAUUUUGGGUGUCACUGAAGGAUUUUACUGGUGCAGACUUUACAAAGGCAAAAUUGUUUCUCAAGGAAGUGGACAUGAAAGAUCUAAAAUCAGGGCUGCUUAAAAAAAGCAAGCACAGAUUAAUGACCUAUCUACAUCCUACACGGUUUUAGGACUGCGCCUAGAUGGGCUUAAAGACCCUAGCCUAAAAACUGUAAAUGUGCUUCCGUCUUUGCCCUGUAGGACAAGAAAGCCUUACGGGCUUGCUUCUAACUGUGAGAGGAGGAGAGGCCAGGAAGGGAGAGGGAGAAAAGGAGGAGAACAGGAGACGAGAAGGAGGGGAGAGUGAGGAGAGGAGGAGAGAGGCUUGUCAAAAUCUUUUUAGUGCACAAAACUAAUUUUGUUCAUCUUGGAUUUGGUGAGCUGGGUAAUAUUCUGUGCACGGCUCCUAAAUGAAUUAUUAAAUGUCAACUCAAGAUGGCUUAACUAAAAUACUCAAUUUAAUAACCAAAAGUAUCUAAGGUAACAACAACAAUUUUGCAGGUGAUUGUAGAGUUGUCAAGUCAAACCAUUAUAGACAAGCAUUUGGGGUUUUCACAUAAUCUCCUUCCACAUCUCAUCUUCUGUCACUAAAUACCCACUCUGGUGAGCAUAUUCCAUUUCAAUAAAGAUCAUCGCUUCGGUGCCAGCUUCUUUUUAUUCAGAUCGAGCCAGAAAACCUUUUUUUUUUUUCUAAAAUAUAAAGCAAAACAAGAUCUCAGUCACAACCACCAAAUCUUUAUUAAUGCAUUCCUUGUGCUACUUCUGAAUAUUAAUAAAAAUUAAUAAUUAAUUUUGCCUUUGGCAUUGCAAGAUAUACUAGUUUUAAUUAGUGUACUGUACUCCUAUACAAUUAAAAAAUAAUUGAUGUCCAUGCU